GUGGUGGCCACAGUAGCAGAACCAGCAGCCAGAAAUGGAUUAUGAGAGAUUUGAGGCUCAGAGAAUGUGAAUCCCACAAGGCAUCACCUUGCCAAGCCAGGAAUUCUUCAUCUGCUCUGAACUUGGGUAGUUACCCUUGCGAGGUAGCAGAAAUCAAGAAUGGACUGCAGCUGCCCAUGCAGCAAGUUCUCCUCUGUCUCCAGCUCCCUGGGCUGAGCAUUUCAAGGGAAGGAGCCAUGGUGAGACUGAAGGUCAUCUCUUCCCCAAGUUAUGUCUCCUCACUGUCAUCACA